rnacentral:misc_RNA from 1 species
CUCACUUAUUUCUCUUCCCUGAUUCCUCUGCUAAAAAGAAAAAAGAAGGGCGCUCUGUUUUUCGGAUCGCGAAAAUGCAGAGCGUAGCCUUCACUGUCUCUUCUUCUCCCUCGCUUCUUCCUCUUAAGCCUCCGAGGUCUUUGGUUAACACUAGCUUUACUGCUAGAUUCGAUCCUAUUUGCGCUUCAUCUAGACGCCAGGAUCUAGACAACUCCAGCAAUAUUGUUUUCCCCCGCCGAUCCUGGUCCUUAGCUUCGUCUUCCUCGCAGCUCAGGCCUUGGAAUCCUCUGCCUCCUC